rnacentral:rRNA from 1 species
AGCCUGAUCCAGCCAUACCGCGUGGGUGAAGAAGGCCUUCGGGUUGUAAAGCCCUUUUGUUGGGAAAGAAAAGCAAUCGAUUAAUACUCGGUUGUUCUGACGGUACCCAAAGAAUAAGCACCGGCUAACUUCGUGCCAGCAGCCGCGGUAAUACGAAGGGUGCAAGCGUUACUCGGAAUUACUGGGCGUAAAGCGUGCGUAGGUGGUUGUUUAAGUCUGUUGUGAAAGCCCUGGGCUCAACCUGGGAAUUGCAGUGGAUACUGGGCGACUAGAGUGUGGUAGAGGGUAGUGGAAUUCCCGGUGUAGCAGUGAAAUGCGUAGAGAUCGGGAGGAACAUCCAUGGCGAAGGCAGCUACCUGGACCAACACUGACACUGAGGCACGAAAGCGUGGGGAGCAAACAGGAUUAGAUACCCUGGUAGUCCACGCCCUAAACGAUGCGAACUGGAUGUUGGGUGCAAUUUGGCACGCAGUAUCGAAGCUAACGCGUUAAGUUCGCCGCCUGGGGAGUACGGUCGCAAGACUGAAACUCAAAGGAAUUGACGGGGGCCCGCACAAGCGGUGGAGUAUGUGGUUUAAUUCGAUGCAACGCGAAGAACCUUACCUGGUCUUGACAUGUCGAGAACUUUCCAGA